rnacentral:rRNA from 1 species
GACGAACGCUGGCGGCGUGCUUAACACAUGCAAGUCGAACGGAAAGGCCCUGCUUUUGUGGGGUGCUCGAGUGGCGAACGGGUGAGUAACACGUGAGUAACCUGCCCUUGACUUUGGGAUAACUUCAGGAAACUGGGGCUAAUAUCGGAUAUGAGCUCCUGCUGCAUGGGGGGGGUUGGAAAGUUUCGGCGGUUGGGGAUGGACUCGCGGCUUAUCAGCUUGUUGGUGGGGUAGUGGCUUACCAAGGCUUUGACGGGUAGCCGGCCUGAGAGGGUGACCGGCCACAUUGGGACUGAGGUACGGCCCAGACUCCUACGGGAGGCAGCAGUGGGGAAUAUUGCACAAUGGGCGGAAGCCUGAUGCAGCAACGCCGCGUGCGGGAUGACGGCCUUCGGGUUGUAAACCGCUUUCGCCUGUGACGAAGCGUGAGUGACGGUAAUGGGUAAAGAAGCACCGGCUAACUACGUG